rnacentral:rRNA from 1 species
CUACGGGAGGCAGCAGUAGGGAAUAUUGCACAAUGGGCGAAAGCCUGAUGCAGCAACGCCGCGUGCAGGAUGAAGGCCUUCGGGUUGUAAACUGCUUUUAUAUGUGAAGAUUUUGACGGUAGCAUGUGAAUAAGGAUCGGCUAACUCCGUGCCAGCAGCCGCGGUCAUACGGAGGAUCCAAGCGUUAUCCGGAAUUACUGGGCGUAAAGAGUUGCGUAGGUGGCAGAGUAAGUUGGUAGUGAAAGCGUUCCGCUCAACGGGAUAAACAUUACCAAAACUGCUCAGCUUGAGAGCGGGAGAGGUCGCUAGAAUUCCUGGUGUAGGGGUGAAAUCCGUAGAUAUCAGGAGGAAUACCAAUGGCGUAGGCAGGCGACUGGCCCGUUUCUGACACUCAGGCACGAAAGCGUGGGGAGCGAUCGGGAUUAGAUACCCCGGUAGUCC